rnacentral:misc_RNA from 1 species
GACAGACCUCAUGGUCAGCAUGCAGUAAUUUUGGUGGAAGAUGCUCCAAAAUACAUGGAUAAUCGGGGGGACAGAAAUGACCCUGGUCCAAUUGUUAGUGGAUCACGGCAGAUAUAUCUAACCCUUCCCAGCGGAGAGCACUUUUACAGAAGAUGAUGUCUCCAACUACUUCAACACCUUUGGAUCAGUUGAGGAUGUAAGGAUCCCCUGCCAACAGAAAAGGAUGUUUGGUUUCGUAACAUUUGAAAGUGCAGAUACUGUGAAGAUGAUUUUGGCAAAAGGAAAUCCUCAUUUUGUUUGUGGUGCUCGAGUUCUUGUGAAACCUUA